rnacentral:rRNA from 1 species
GACGAACGCUGGCGGCGUGCUUAACACAUGCAAGUCGAACGGAAAGGCCCUGCUUUGGUGGGGUGCUCGAGUGGCGAACGGGUGAGUAACACGUGAGUAACCUGCCCUUGACUUUGGGAUAACUUCAGGAAACUGGGGCUAAUACCGGAUAGGAGCUCCUGCUGCAUGGUGGGGGUUGGAAAGUUUCGGCGGUUGGGGAUGGACUCGCGGCUUAUCAGCUUGUUGGUGGGGUAGUGGCUUACCAAGGCUUUGACGGGUAGCCGGCCUGAGAGGGUGACCGGCCACAUUGGGACUGAGAUACGGCCCAGACUCCUACGGGAGGCAGCAGUGGGGAAUAUUGCACAAUGGGCGGAAGCCUGAUGCAGCAACGCCGCGUGCGGGAUGACGGCCUUCGGGUUGUAAACCGCUUUCGCCUGUGACGAAGCGUGAGUGACGGUAAUGGGUAAAGAGGCACCGGCUAACUACGUG